GAUGAAGAACGCAGCGAAAUGCGAUACGUAAUGUGAAUUGCAAAUUCAGUGAAUCAUCGAGUCUUUGAACGCACAUUGCGCCCCCUGGUAUUCCGGGGGGCAUGCCUGUCCGAGCGUCAUUGCUGCCCUCAAGCACGGCUUGUGUGUUGGGCCCCGUCCUCCGAUCCCGGGGGGCGGGCCCGAAAGGCAGCGGCGGCACCGCGUCCGGUCCUCGAGCGUAUGGGGCUUUGUCACCCGCUCUGUAGGCCCGGCCGGCGCUUGCCGAUCAACCCAAAUUUUUUAUCCAGGUUGACCUCGGAUCAGGUAGGGAUACCCGCUGAACUUAAGCAUAUCAAUAAGCGGAGGA
rnacentral:misc_RNA from 1 species